UACGAAGGGGGCGAGCGUUGUUCGGAAUCACUGGGCGUAAAGGGCGCGUAGGCGGCCCUCUUAGUCGCGUGUGAAAGCCCCGGGCUCAACCUGGGAACGGCGCGCGAAACGGGAGGGCUGGAGUUCGGGAGAGGAGAGUGGAAUUCCCAGUGUAGAGGUGAAAUGCGUAGAUAUCGGAAGGAACACCAGUGGCGAAAGCGGCUCCCUGGUCCAGCACCGACGCUCAGGCACGAAAGCGUGGGGAGCAAACAGG
rnacentral:rRNA from 1 species